UCCGCUAUUCUCGUCUCCAUCAAAGAGAUCGAUCUCUCUUCCCACGAUCGCCGAACGUCAUCUCUUCCAACGGCGGCCCAGCCUAAUAUUCAUCGCGUCCUCCUCGUCCCCAACACCGAAGCUUGGAUUCGGUAAUGGUACAAAGGAUCGAGCGGAGGGCGGGCAGCCAGGCGGCAGGCGCAUAGACGCAGGGGUGAGGGCACGGGCGGCAGCGCCUGGACGGACGCCGUGAAUCUCGGGGACGACGUUGAGUGGUGAAGCUUCGCGGGUGGCGAUGCUUUGCUGGCUUGCGUGAAGGGCGUGCGCAACGAGCUCAGGCGUCCGAUUUCCUACGUCUGACCCGAGUCAGGCAGCACAUCUGGGCACCAACCAAACAUCACUCCGGUAAAUCUCAGGAGGACUCCGAUCAGUUGUGGAUGAAAAGAGCUGGCAAUAGGAUGUUGACUUGUAGCUGUUUAGAUGACACCAGAUGAAAAUG